GGGAAGUAGUCAAUAAAAAAACAAACAAUAACAAUAAUGCGAGUAUGCGAUAAGUGAAGAAAUGUAUAGUUGCUUCAAGUUUUUUGAAAGUCUACAUCAUUUGAACAUGAAGAAUUGAAUGCAUGGAUGGACUAGUGCCAGUCAUCUUCAUUUGACGUCAUAUCUUGUGGGCGUUUAAUUAGAUCUCAGCAGUUGGCUAUUUUUAACUUUAAUCUCAAAUCGUUGCGGCACAAUCAGACUUCAGGAAGUACUUAAAAUAGCUGACCGCGUGACAUGCAGACCAAAAAAAAAGAAAAAAAAAGGCGAAUUCUAGCGUCUCUUGAAUAAGUGAAGAAAUAAAUUUUGGUCUAUAUGUGAAUAAAAAAAAAGAACAUUAGGUGAUAGACCAAAUAGAUUAUAUGCAUGUGUACAUUAUAUAGACUAUUAUAGAUUAUAGACCAAAGCUGCACAGCCUUUAGUUUCCUUGCCUCAAUCUUUUUCAGUUCUAAUUUAGAUGCGCCAUUCAAACUUUAGCCCCCUGUCAAUCCUUUGAAAUGAUUACAGAUUGGGCAGUUAUACAGACCCUGUAUCAUCUAGAAAAUCAAUAACAAUAUAUCCUUCUGUUGCCAAAACGUUGUGAGAAUGUGCCCUCUUAAAAGCCAGCGCACCUCGCAAUGAGUGGAGAUCAUCUAAUCAUUGAUCUAUCAGAUUUACAAUAUUCUCUAAUGUCUUCUUUUCCAGCCUCUUACUUUGAUUGUAGUCCUACAUUUUACAACUGGUGUCUUUACUUUAGAUACAUUCUUUAUAUUCCUCUUCCACACCGAGUCUCUUUAAUGCAAAGAUAUUGUAGAGGUAUACAACUUUAACUGUGUAUGUGUAAUAUAUAUAUUGGAUUUCUACGUAAUGUUGCUCUUCAUUAUAUCCAUACAUCUUCAUAUUGUCCGAACGUUUACAGUUUUAAGAGUGUAAGAAUUAUUGAUAUGAAUGAGAAGUCAGAGCUCUUGCAAUUACUUGCAAAAUAUACUAAUCAUACUUUUUGUCCAAAUUGAGUUAUAUUUCUUGACUUAUUUCCAUUCGAAUGACGCAUUUAAUAAAAUCUAAUGAAUUAAUAUUUUUGUUAUUCCUAGCACGUAAUUCUGUCGAUUGGUCCCAAAUGAUAAACAGCAGAUAAUGCUUUGUAUCUGAACUCACUAAAUACUCUCUUCAAUGUAAAUUAUGCAUAUUUGAAUUAUUUUUUACAAUUAAAACACUAAGCUGUAAAAAAAA
rnacentral:sRNA from 1 species